rnacentral:lncRNA from 1 species
AGUAGUUGUGAAUCAGAGGUGUCAAGGUCCACUCCCAAGAUUCCAAAUAGCAGCUCUUAGUCUUGCAAGAAAAUUUAGCCAGGAGAAGGAUAAGUGAGAGGCCUACUGGAAGACAGAGGAAGUCGUUAUUCCUAGCAGAAGAGUUGGUGUCUGCUUUUCCAUCAACUUGUAAAUUACUGGAGAGGAGGACCUCAAGACAUUCUCCCUUGUUUUCUUCACAAUCAGGGAUGAUAUUGAAGAUAGUUAACACCCAGUACAGCACAGGCACCAACCAACUCAAAUGGACACUGUUCUUAGGCAAUUCGUAUGGCUAUACUAGUGGAUACAGCUGCAUAUUUGUUCUGCACACAGAAGGCAUCCAAUAAAUGAUCGUUGGAUUGAAUUUCAUUGGUUUGGUCAUCAUGGCCUUGCCACCUUUGUUCCAGAUAAAAGGAUCUGUAUGAGAGAAGCAGCUCUGGCACAUGCACACUUGCGGAUGCCGUUCAUCUGCUUUUCUCCUGGGACUACCAGGAAAUAAAUUAGCUAUCAGAUCAGAGCAAACCAAAAUUUAAAAGAUCAUAAAUGAAAAAUGAAUGUGUUGUUAUUUGACUUUUUUGUAUCGUUAUUCAUAGAUUUUCUUAAAGUAAUAAUCAGAGAACAUCAUCAACUAAAAUAUGUUUGUAACCCAAGUCAGUGACGAACUUGGUAAACACGGCAGAAUUACGCCCUCUCUUAAUUAGCCUUUGGGGAGACACCAAGUUUUGAACCGCUGCUUGUAGCUCUGGGAAUCUUCUAAGAAGCAGGAGUAGAUUAACCUCUAGAAGAGAAAUAUGCCAAAAACUGAUUUUCACAUAUGACUUGGUGAGUCUUAAACAGAAACAGGCUAACAUGCCAAAUAUGACCAGCUGAGAAGUAUCAACAUCAAAGGCAGAAAUCAUAAACUAUUUGACACAAACAUAUUAAAAAGUUUUACAUCAAGAAAUUAUAAAAAACAAAAUUUAAGACAGGUGACAAAUUUUAAAAUAUUGCUGCAUAUGUGACAGAGCUGAUAUCAUUAAUAUAUGAGAAAUUCUUACAGAUCAGUAAGAAAAAGAUAAAUGCCUCAGUAGAAAAAUGACCAAAGGAUAAGCAAGUCACAAAA